rnacentral:rRNA from 1 species
GACGAACGCUGGCGGCGUGCUUAACACAUGCAAGUCGAACGGAAAGGCCCUGCUUUUGUGGGGUGCUCGAGUGGCGAACGGGUGAGUAACACGUGAGUAACCUGCCCUUGACUUUGGGAUAACUUCAGGAAACUGGGGCUAAUACCGGAUAGGAGCUCCUGCUGCAUGGUGGGGGUUGGAAAGUUUCGGCGGUUGGGGAUGGACUCGCGGCUUAUCAGCUUGUUGGUGGGGUAGUGGCUUACCAAGGCUUUGACGGGUAGCCGGCCUGAGAGGGUGACCGGCAAAAUGGGGACGGGGAUACGGCCCGGACUCUUAGGGGGGGAAGAGGUGGGGAAUAUUGAAAAAGGGGCGGAGGCCUGAUGCAGAAACGCCGCGUGGGGGAGGCCGGCCUUCGGGUGGUAACCGGCUUUCGCCUGUGACGAAGCGUGAGUGAGGGUAAUGGGAAAAGAAGCACGGGCUAACUACGU